rnacentral:lncRNA from 1 species
GGAUUGAGCCCUCACAAUAAAGUAGAUCUGGCAAAUAAAUCGCUUCGAAUUCUUUCUCAAACUAGAUAACCCGACAAGUUACAUGGAAUUAGUUAGAUGAUUAAGACUUGUGUUUUAUCCAUUUCCUCAUCUCAGAUUGGCCUUUCUUCAUGCCUCCUCUCAUCGUGAUUACUCCGAUUCGGGGGAAUCUAGGCGGUGCAACGUGGCAAGGGUUGAGGGGUCGCUCCCUAUGCCACUUGAGCAACGGUCAAUAAUUUUAGUAAGUUGGAGGAUUUAAUGACACAAAGAGUGAAACUUAGAGAGUUGAAUCGGAGGUAACCUGCUAAGAAAAAAUAUAGAUGCUUUUUCCUUGGAUGCAUGAGGCCCCUUAUAUCAAAAUAUAAUCUUCUUCCACAAGGUGCUUUCUAUAAUUGCAUAAAGCAACAGCUUUAAUUAAAAAGAAUUCCACGGUGCGUUUUGGCAGAAGUCUUCCAUGUUUGGUAAUAAAUCUCUCGUGA